rnacentral:rRNA from 1 species
UACGUAGGGUGCGAGCGUUAAUCGGAAUUACUGGGCGUAAAGCGUGCGCAGGCGGUUUUGUAAGCCAGAUGUGAAAUCCCCGGGCUUAACCUGGGAAUGGCAUUUGGGACUGCAAGGCUUGAGAGCGGCAGAGGAGACUGGAAUUCCUGGUGUAGCAGUGAAAUGCGUAGAUAUCAGGAGGAAUACCGAUGGCGAAGGCAGGUCUCUGGGCUGACACUGACGCUCAUGCACGAAAGCGUGGGGAGCAAACAGG